GUCUUCGUGGUGUAGUGGUUAGCACACACGACGUGUAUUCGAGAGGUCCGACGUGUAUUCGAGAGGUCCGUGGUUCGAAUCCCGGCGAGGGCA
rnacentral:tRNA from 1 species